rnacentral:rRNA from 1 species
CCCUUAGAUGUUCUGGGCCGCACGCGCGCUACACUGACGAAUGCAACGAGCUUAUAACCUUGGCCGAAAGGUCUGGGUAAUCUCCAAAUCUCGUCGUGAUGGGGAUAGAUUAUUGCAAUUAUUAAUCUUCAACGAGGAAUGCCUAGUAAGCGCAAGUCAUCAGCUUGCGUUGAUUACGUCCCUGCCCUUUGUACACACCGCCCGUCGCUCCUACCGAUUGAAUGGUCCGGUGAAGCGUUCGGACCGUGGCCUUUGGACGGUUCGCCGUCUGUUGGCUGCGGGAAGUUCGUUAAACCUUAUCAUUUAGAGGAAGGAGAAGUCGUAACA